CUCCACAGAGAUUUCACAGUUCCACCCUCAGCUGCAUAAUAAUCCUGAACUUGUUUGGUCUUAAAUUAUGCUUUGUACAUUUUAUUAUUUUAACAGCCAAGGUCUACCAGCUUCUGCAUGGAGCCAAACAAUAUGUUGACCCUAUGACCCAAAAGCUUCGGUUUCUAACUGUUCAAUAUUUUAUGUAAUGAAGUGAUACUGCGAACAAUAUUGCUUAAGCAAGGUUUAAUGGCCAAUUAAUAUGCAUGUGAUGGGGAUCUGCAUCUUUUUUUUAGGGUGAGGAAAUCUGAUAUUUGUAUAUGAAGUAGAAAAGCAGUAGGUAAGAAGUCUGUAUAAAGAUGAGAGAAGGGAAAGAAAUAAUCCAAUAGCUGCCUUAAAAUAGGAAUGAUAAAAAAAUCUACAUUUCUGGCAAGUUUUUCUCUUUUUCUAUGCAAAGGAAUUGGCUAGGAACUUGCAGACUUCCACUUACACGAAAUACAUCUGAACUUCCACACCUUUGCAUGUAUUUGGAUCAAAUGGAUCUCAUCUAUGAGCCAAUGAAGGACGCUUUAAAAAGAUUUCUAAACCCGAAGACGCCCACAGAUUCCCUGAUAAAAAAUGCAGAGUGGGCAGCAGAAAUAACAGCCUUUUCCCUCCAUCAUAUUGUCAAAGUCUAUGUAGGAAGCCACUGGUAUGCCACCUAUUUGCACACGUUAUUAAAGUUUCCAGAGUUGUUGUCAAAUUGCAAAAAAGUAUACUGGAUUGCUUAUGGCCAGAGUCUCCUCAUUCAUGGAGAUGGAAAAAUGUUUCGACAUGUUCUCAACUUCUUAAGACUUGGCAAGUUGUAUUUACCAUCUGAAUUUAAGUACGUUAAUUACUGUUUGAUGCACAUUAUGUCUGGGAUAGCUAAAGAGCAGUUCGACCUUAAGACAGGGUUGGAAGUGCUCCGUGUACUGAAUGGCUGCCUCUCUCAACCACAUUCUUGGUAGAACACGGCUUCCUCCCCAAAGUUCUGUUUUCUCUAUAAUUGGAACAAUUCGUUUUUGCCAAUUUCUCUUAGGUUGUUCCUGUUUCGUUAUGCCCCCUAUAAUGUCAUUAAACAAUUUGGAGCAAUGAAUCAGGAAACGAAGCUAAACAUUGUUUCAGAAAUAUCACUAGUGACGUAAGGGAAUGUGAUGAUUAUUUCUCCCAAAUCUUAGAAAGCACAUUUGUCUGGCGAAGGACUUAGCACUUGGGCACGGCCAGAGGAGGCUGCAGUGCCAGAGCCCCAGGGCAGAUGCCCUGCGCCCCAAGGAGCGACUGGGGCAGUGCAGGUCUCCCCCUGCAGCAGCAGCAGAAGGAGAAGCUGCACUGAAGGUGGCCUUGUGUUUGGACCAGGCCUCCCUCCGGCUGGGCAGCUCACUUCAUCAUGGCUCGGGGUGGCUUAGACUUCAAAUGAGAA